ensembl:lncRNA
GAAUGUUGCAAGGCAGAGAGGGUGUUCCAGGUCUAAGAGGGACUGAAACAUAAAUGACUUCCACUCCUUCAAGACAUGGGAGGCUGUCUGGUUCUCACUUUCAUGGUGUCUACGCUUUAGGAUUAACUCAGUUUGAACUAAAUGAACACAGUGUGUUUGAUUUUACUCAUCCACGUGACCAUGAGGAAAUGAGGGAAAUGCUUACACACAGAAAUGGAACUGAAGUUGGGACAAUCGUGGUGUGACCUCACUGGAUCUUUCAUGAAGAGAUGAUUGUGAUGAGUUUCUUUAUAGGUUACUGUAUUUAUACCCAGGAAAGCACACAAUGCUGUGGGAGCACACUCAAGGUUUCUGACCCACCUUUGGUCGAUCAUGAAGGCUUCCUGGAAGAACUAACACCAUUGGCAGAUAUCCAGCAGGAACAAGUUUUCAGGCUUUGCCCAAAGGAAGACUGUGAUGUUAUUCCUGGGGUAAAUUAUUCAGCUUCUGGUACUCUGCUGUGGAAAUUAAUUUACAGCAGCAUAUUGCUAAUAAC